GCAGAAGAUGCAGGAGGAUCAUGGAGGAAGCAGGAAGCAGAUACAACAAGAUGGCCCAUUUCUAACAAGAGAGCAUCAAUAAGCAUCUUGACUGAACCAAAAUACGAUUGAGGCAAAUUCACAGCACCUGUGUCAAAUGUGAAAAGCCAGAUCGAGUCACCAGCGAUAAUGGGAGGCCAGUAUUGCAGAAAGCAUUACUGUCUUGCUGUUGUCUUCACCUCCUUGACUUUAUGUGUUUUAUGUUUCCUGAUUUACAACGAGAACAUCAUGAAUGAGAGGAGCAGUAAAUUA